GACGAACGCUGGCGGCGUGCUUAACACAUGCAAGUCGAACGGAAAGGCCCUGCUUUUGUGGGGUGCUCGAGUGGCGAACGGGUGAGUAACACGUGAGUAACCUGCCCUUGACUUUGGGAUAACUUCAUGAAACUGGGGCUAAUACCGGAUAGGAGCUCCUGCUGCAUGGUGGGGGUUGGAAAGUUUCGGCGGUUGGGGAUGGACUCGCGGCUUAUCAGCUUGUUGGUGUGGUAGUGGCUUACCAAGGCUUUGACGGGUAGCCGGCCUGAGAGGGUGACCGGCCACAUUGGGACUGAGAUACGGCCCAGACUCCUACGGGAGGCAGCAGUGGGGAAUAUUGCACAAUGGGCGGAAGCCUGAUGCAGAAACGCCGCGUGCGGGAUGAAGGCCUUCGGGUUGUAAACAGCUUUCGCCUGUGACGAAGAGUGAGUGACGGUAAUGGGUAAAGAAGCACCGGCUAACUACGUG
rnacentral:rRNA from 1 species